rnacentral:rRNA from 1 species
AACUUUUGUGAUCAAGCUACUAAGGGCUUGUGGUGGAUGCCUUGGUGCCAGGAGGCGAUGAAGGACGUAGCAAGCUGCGAUAAGCCGCGGGAAGCCGCAAACAGGCGUUAAUCCGCGGAUCUCCGAAUGGGACAACCCAGCCGGUUUAACCGCCGGCUAUCGCCGGAUGAAUUCAUAGUCCGGCGAGGCGAAACGGGGCGAAGUGAAACAUCUCAGUAACCCCAGGAAAAGAAAACGACCGUGAUUCCGUGAGUAGUGGCGAGCGAAAGCGGAGGAGCCUAAACCGGGGGGAUUUAUCCUCCCGGGGUUGAGGGACCUCGACAUGGAAGGCGAAAGACGAGCUUAACCAUCUGGAAAGUUGGGCCAUAGACCGUGACAGCCGGGUGAGCGAAGUUCGAGUAGCCUACUAGGGGUAUCCCAAGUAACGCGGUGCACGUGAAACUCUGCGUGAAUCUGUCCGGACCACCGGAUAAGGCUAAAUACUACCUGGCAACCGAUAGUGAACAAGUACCGCGAGGGAAUGGUGAAAAGAACCCCUGCUAGGGGAGUGAAAUAGUACCUGAAACCACAUGCCUACAAUGUGUCGGAGCUGCGCGCAAGCGCAGUGACGGCUUGCCUUUUGCAUAAUGAGUCUGCGAGUUAUUGUCAGUGGCCAGCUUAAGCCCUUUUGGGGCGGAGGCGAAGGGAAACCGAGUGCCAACAGCGCGUUUAGUCGCUGGCAAUAGACCCGAAGCGGAGGUGAUCUACUCUUGAGCAGGUUGAAGCCUGGGUAACACCAGGUGGAGGACCGAACUCGUGGAUGUUGAAAAAUCCUGAGAUGACUUGAGAGUAGGAGCGAUAGACUAAUCAAACCCCGUGAUAGCUGGUUCUCUCCGAAAUCGCUUGAGGGCGAGCGUCGUGCAAGUAAACGGCGGAGGUAGAGCACUGAAUGGCUUAGGGACCCCACCAGGUUACCAAAACCAAUCAAACUCCGAAUUCCGCCGGUCCCAUUACCACGGCAGUCAGGCUGCGAGUGAUAAGAUCCGUAGCCGAGAGGAAAACAGCCCAGACCGGCAGCUAAGGUGCCUAAACACAGUUAAGUGGAAAGGAUGUGACGUUGCUAAGACAGUGAGGAUGUUGGCUUAGAGGCAGCCAUCAUUUAAACAGUGCGUAACAGCUGACUCAUCGAGCGAUGUCGCGCCGAAAAUGAUUGGCGAUUAAACUGUGUACCGAAGCUCCGGAAGCGUGAGGGAUUCGUCUUUCAUGCUUGGUAGGAGAGCGUAGUCAGCGCGGUGAAGCCGGACGGAUAACGGACGGUGGAGGGCUGACUAGUGAGAAUGCAGACACGAGUAGCGAUAAACCAGGUGAGAAUCCUGGUCGCCGUAAACCCAAGGUUUCCUGGGCCAGGUUCGUCCCCCCAGGGUUAGCCGGGAGCUAACGCGAGGCCGUAAGGCGUAGCGGAUGCACAGCAGGUUAAAUAUUCCUGCGCCGGGUAAGAAUCAGCCAUGUGAUGACGCGUUGGAAAACAUCGGUUAGGCAAUCGAAUGCUGAGCUUAGGCUUCGGCCGAAGCGCACCGGUGGAGAAGGCGCCGAGAAAAGUCGCAUGGUGUUGUGUCUUACUCGCCCGUACCGUAAACCGACACAGGUGGGUGAGUGUAAGCGCACUCAGGCGCGCGAGAGAAACCUCUCUAAGGAACUCGGCACAUUAGCCCCGUAACUUCGGGAGAAGGGG